AAGUCAUAACAAGGUUUCCGUAGGUGAACCUGCGGAAGGAUCAUUCUCAAAGUUGAUCUCCAACCGUAACCUGUGAACCGCGCCUCCGGGCCGAACGCUUUGGUUUUUGAAUGUAUUAUACGUUAAACAAAAAAAACUUUCAACAACGGAUCUCUUGGCUCUCGCAUCGAUGAAGAACGCAGCGAAAUGCGAUAAGUAAUGUGAAUUGCAGAACAGUGAAUCAUCGAGUCUUUGAACGCAACUUGCGCCCUCUGGUAUUCCGGAGGGCAUGCCUGUCCGAGUGUCUCAAACGAUCACCAUCCCCGGUGGACUUGGGUGCUGCCGUCGGCUCGCCUGAAAUGUUUGAAAACCCAGUGACCAUAAGUUCUGUCACGACACUCAUGUUUUGACCUCGGAUCAGGUAGGACUACCCGCUGAACUUAA
rnacentral:rRNA from 1 species